UACGAAGGGGGCUAGCGUUGCUCGGAAUGACUGGGCGUAAAGCGCACGUAGGCGGUCUUUUAAGUCGGGGGUGAAAUCCUGGAGCUCAACUCCAGAACUGCCUUCGAUACUGGAAGACUUGAGUCCGGGAGAGGUGAGUGGAACUGCGAGUGUAGAGGUGAAAUUCGUAGAUAUUCGCAAGAACACCAGUGGCGAAGGCGGCUCACUGGUCCGGUACUGACGCUGAGGUGCGAAAGCGUGGGGAGCAAACAGG
rnacentral:rRNA from 1 species